AUUGAACGCUGGCGGCAGGCUUAACACAUGCAAGUCGAGCGGAGAUGAGGUGCUUGCACCUUAUCUUAGCGGCGGACGGGUGAGUAAUGCUUAGGAAUCUGCCUAUUAGUGGGGGACAACAUUCCGAAAGGAAUGCUAAUACCGCAUACGCCCUACGGGGGAAAGCAGGGGAUCUUCGGACCUUGCGCUAAUAGAUGAGCCUAAGUCGGGUUAGCUAGUUGGUGGGGUAAAGGCCUACCAAGGCGACGAUCUGUAGCGGGUCUGAGAGGACGAUCCGCCACACUGGGACUGAGACACGGCCCAGACUCCUACGGGAGGCAGCAGUGGGGAAUAUUGGACAAUGGGCGGAAGCCUGAUCCAGCCAUGCCGCGUGUGUGAAGAAGGCCUUUUGGUUGUAAAGCACUUUAAGCGAGGAGGAGGCUACCUGGAUUAAUACUCUAGGAUAGUGGACGUUACUCGCAGAAUAAGCACCGGCUAACUCUGUGCCAGCAGCCGCCGUAACAC
rnacentral:rRNA from 1 species